AAAGAAUUUUAAUAAAUAUAAUAUUCAGUGAGAACAAUACCAUGUUUUAUAAAGAAUAUAAUAUCAACUUAUAUUUGUACAUGUGUAUACAUACAAAUAUAUAGUCAUUUGUCUAAUAGAUACAUCUAUUUUCUAAGGCUGAAAAUGAGGUACCAAUGAGCUAAGUCUAAAAUCAUGUUUAUCAAUAAGUGUUAGGGUUGUUGGAAUAUGAAUUAUGGAUUUAAAAUCUUUCUCAUUUAAAUUUCGGUUUCUCAGCACUGAGCUUGUACUGCUUUUAAAUUCAGAAAAGAACACUUAAAAAUCAAAUAGAAAAAUCUCUGAAGAGCAUGAUUAUAUCAUUUUAUUCCCUGUAGUCAGGUCAGCUUCCUCAUUUGUAAAUUGAGGGGAUUAGACUUGAUGUUCUCUAAGGUAUCUCUCAGGCUUAAAAGACUCUAAGGCUGUGAACCGUAUAGCACAUACCUAAUAAAUGAUUAUCAAAACAACGACCAUGUCUAUUGUAAAUCUAAAACAACUCUGACCUUGAGGUUCACGAUAUAACAAAGAGAGCAUGGCCUUAACAUUAAAAGUAACUUGGCUAGCAUCCUGGCCGGGUGUCACUUCCCUCAUUAGAAAAAUGAGGGUAAUAACUCUUCUGUCAAAGGAUUGGAAAGGGGUUGAAAAGUGGCAACAAGUCUGAAGGCCUUUGCAUGCGGCUGCCUUGGAGUAGAUGCUUCCUAAAUGAUACUUUACACAGUUAAUCCAAGACCUGGUCGUCUAUCUGCCAGACCGCACUGGACCGUCAUCAGUUUGUAGUCCCUGGAUCUAAACUCCCAUUUUGGACCCUGCAUCAGAAGCAGAGGGUAAGCUUUGUGAGGGCUGAGCCAUUUCAGCUUUGGGAAGUUGAGACAGCGGUUCGGGUGGGACCCGAAUAUGGCAGGCCAUGUCACUGGGUCUCUGGAGUUCUCUUGUCCAGUGGGAAGAGAAGUGGGCAGCACAGGGAGUCAAAGCACAGAGGAGAAGCCUGGUUAUGUGUUUGCCUCCGUGCUGGCUUGCUCACCUGCCUGCCAGACCUUCUUCCUUCUCUCCUCCCUUCCUUCAGAAAAUAUUGCCACUACGUGGCAGUCUCCAUGGUUGGCAUCAGAGUUUGAAUAUUAAAUAAGAUACUGACUCUGACCUUAGGUAGCUUAUUGUCUGGUAGGAGAGACAGAUAAUAAAAAUCGCAGACCCACCUCAUCAGCCCUGCACACAGGGUAAAUUGAUGGUCCAGAAGUGAGAGAACACAGUGGUUGGAGGGAAGAGUGCACUUCAGGACGUGGUGACAGAAGUCCUACCCAGGACAAUUCCCUCAAGGUAAUUUUUCUUUCUGGCAGGGAUAGAUUUUGCUCCAGUAGUCAAGAUGUGUUUGAGGUAGGGAGGGGAGCACCCUGUCAGGAACAACAUGUGAAAAGAUCAAAACACGGCUCCUCCAUUAGAAGACCUCAUGAAAAUGAGCUCCCCACAGAGAAGCAUAUGAGGUACAGAGAGAAGGGAAAUGAGGCUUGCAACCAGAUCAUGGGGGAUGCAGACCAAGCUUAAGAAUUAGGAAUGACAACUCAACAACAAGAAAACAAAAAACCCGAUUAAAGAAUGGACAAGGGACUUGAAUAGACAUUUCUCCAAAGAGAACAUAUGAAUGGGCAACAAACAUGAAAAGAUGUUCCAUUUCAAAAGUCACCAGGGGGUGACAAUUAGGAUAAUAGAAGUGUUGGUGAGGAUGUGGAAAACUUAAGACCUUUGUGCACUGUUGGCAGGAAUGUAAAAUAGAAUAGCCACCAUGGAAAACAGUAUGGCAAUUCCUCAAAAAAUUAAAAAAUGGAAUUACCAUAUGAUCCAGCAAUCCCACUUCUUGGUAUUUAUCCACAAGAAUUGAGGGCAGAAUCUUGGAGAAGUAUUGAUACCCCUACACUCACAGCAGCAUUGGUCACCAUAGCCAAGAGGUAGGAACAACCCAAAUGUCCGUCCAUGGGUGAAUGGCUAAGCAACAUGUGGCAAACAUGUACAAUGGAAUAUUAUUCAGCCUUAAAGAGGAAGGAAAUUCUGACACAGGCUACCACAUGGAUGAAUGUUGAGGACACUGUGCUAAGUGGAAUAUACCAGUAACAAGAGCACAGAUACCGCAUGACCCCAUUUAUGUGAGUUAUCUAAAGUUGUCAGGCUCAUAGAAAUAAAAUGGUGGUUGCCAGGGACUAUGGGGAGACGGAAGGAGGGAGUUAUUGUUUCAUGGGUACAGUUUCGAUUUUGCAAGGUGAAAAAGUUCUAGAGAUCUAUCAUCACACAACAAUGUGAAUAUAGUUAACACUUAAGUAUUAUACACCGAAAAAUGACUAAGAUGGCAAAGUUCGUGUUAUGUGUUUUUUACCACAAUAAAAAAGAGAGAAUUGCAAACAGUCUCUUGAAGGCAGUGGACCAUUCCCUGGAGCAUUUUAAAGCUGGGAGACACAUGGCCACACUUGCAUUUUCCGUAGUAGCCUCUGGGGAAAGCGUUUUCCAGAUCAGUGAUAGAACAGACUGGAGCCUGGGGAGACCAGCUGGAGGGACUUUGAGGGUCCAGACAUGGGCUGAUGAGAGUGUGACAAGCUCAGAAAGAAACAGGAAGGAGAUGUGGCAGUACGAAGGAAUGCAGGUGCACUCUUGGAGCUCUGAACCACCAUUUAAGUCCAGCUACCUGGAGGCCGCCAUGCUGUGAGGAAGCUGAAGCUAACCACCUGGAGAGAUCCUGUGGAGAAACAUGCCCAAACAGCACCCAGCUCUCCUAGCCAUCCUGGCCCAAGUGACUAACCUGUGAGUGAAGAAUCCUUCCCAUGACUCUACUCUCAGAAGCUAUCUGACUAUAACUGCAUGAGUGACCCCACGAAGAGCUUCCCAGAUGAGUCCAUCAAACCCCAAACCAUGAGAGAUAACAAUAAAUUGUUGUUUUAAUCCACUAA